rnacentral:piRNA from 1 species
UGUGGAAUGAACAACUAUGGGGUCC